CACAAGGAAUGCUGAGGAGGGACCAGCUUACCUCUCUGCCACCAAGAUGCAUUAAAAGCUUGUCUGCAGAAGGAUCCGAGUGUCCUGCGUGUAUUUCUUGCCGGCCGAGAAAAUACAGAGCGCGCGGGACAUAUGGUGCCGAAACCCGAGAAGCUUAACAUCUCCGGCACCGCGGAGACCCCUUGGCUACAAGGUGGAUUCAGAACUGCAGGGUGGUAAAUUCGGAGAGGAUGAAGAAAAUCCUCUGUGGAUCCCAGAAAGACUCAACCCGAAGAGCCUCUUCGGACCUUCAAAAGUCGGAACUCCACCCUCUCCCCGGGAGCUGAGAGCCGCUAUUGUUAUCCAGAUUAACUCCUGUCCUUGGUGGAGAGAUGGCCACUGCUUAAGGGGUGGGGGUGGGAUUGUUUGAUGCAGCCGUUUGCGGAUUGAUGUUACUUUUGGCUGG
rnacentral:lncRNA from 1 species